UACGGAGGGUGCGAGCGUUGUCCGGAAUCACUGGGCGUAAAGAGCGUGUAGGCGGCCCGGUAAGUCCGCUGUGAAAGUCCAGGGCUCAACCCUGGGAUGCCGGUGGAAACUGUCGAGCUCGAGUCCGGAAGAGGCGAGUGGAAUUCCUGGUGGUAGCGGUGAAAUGCGCAGAUAUCAGGAGGAACACCAGUGGCGAAGGCGGCUCACU
rnacentral:rRNA from 1 species